AUUGAACGCUGGCGGCAGGCCUAACACAUGCAAGUCGAGCGAGCGGCGGACGGGUGAGUAAUGUAUGGGGACUGCCCGUUAGGGGGGGGUAACUACUGGAAACGGUGGCUAAUACCGCAUACUAUCGGAUAACCCAUAUGGGAUUGGCUAGGGGGUGGGGUAAAGGCUCACCUAGGCGACGACAGCUCGCUGGUCCGAGAGGAUGAACAGCAACACUGGGACUGAGACACGGCCCCGCCCCCUACGGAGGCAGCAGUGGGGAAUAUUGCAAAAUGGGCGCAAGCCUGAUGCAGCCAGGCCGCGUGUAUGAAGAAGGCCUUAGGGUUGUAAAGUACUUUCAGCGGGGAGGCGUUACCCGCAGAAGAAGCACCGGCUAACUCCGUGCCAGCAGCCGCGGUAAUUC
rnacentral:rRNA from 1 species